UACGUAGGUGUCGAGCGUUGUCCGGAUUUAUUGGGCGUAAAGCGCCCGCAGGCGGCUUGGCAAGUUUGAGGUGAAAUCUCCCGGCUCAACUGGGAGGGUGCCUCGAAAACUGCCAGGCUUGAGUCAUGGAGAGGGAUGUGGAAUUCCAGGUGUAGUGGUGAAAUGCGUAGAGAUCGGGAAGAACGCCAAGGGCGAAGGCACUCUGCUAGGCCUGAUUUCGCGACUGACACUCAGGGACGAGAGCCAGGGGAGCGAAUGGG
rnacentral:rRNA from 1 species